rnacentral:tRNA from 1 species
GCCCGGGUGGCUCAGUCGGUUGAGCGUCCGACUUCGGCUCAAGUCAUGAACUUGCGGUUUGUGGGUUUGAGCCCCACGUCGGGCU